UCGAUUUUAUGUUAAAAUUGAUUAAAGCCAUACAGCUUUAAACAUGAUGCUCCAGGUUAUUGGGAUUACUGCUGAUGAAUAACAGGAAUCAGUAAAUAAAAAAAUCCUUCAUUUAUCCAAACAGGAAACUAAAUAUUAUAACUCAGAUCGUCUUUGUAGAACAAACAGUGAUGCUGUGGAAGGAUCUCCAGUAGCAGUCAGUCUUGCAAUGUCUUUAAAGAGGCCUCUGACUGAAAACUAUUGCUGUGUAACAAUGUUAACAUGCUACCGGCUCCAUAUGACAUCAUCAGCCACUAAUCCACCUCCUUUGCUUUUGCUGCUCCUCAGUUUUCAUUCACUGAUGUUACCUGAAUGCAAACAUAACAGAGGUCCAGCAGGUAGGCUGUUCCAGUGACCAGGGGUGUGUGUGUGUGUGUGUGUGUUCCAGUCAGUUGCUGAAGGAUCCCCAGGUUCUCUUCGCCGGUUAUAAAGUUCCUCACCCCUUGGAGCAUAAGAUCGUCAUCCGGGUCCAGACCACACCUGACUACAGUCCCCAGGAAGCUUUCACCAAUGCCAUCACAGACUUGAUCAGUGAGCUGUCACUGCUGGAGGAACGCUUCCGGGUCGCCAUUAAAGACAAACAGGAAGGUAUCGAGUGACCCCGCCCACUCUGAUGACCUCACUGCAGCCCCCUUUCCCUCCCGGGUGUUUUUUCUAAUAAAGAUCUGACGUCAUGUCCUUA